GACAGAGGUGCCGAGCGUUAGGCGGAAUCACUGGGCUUAAAGCGUGUGUAGGCGGCGGCGUAAGUACCUUGUGAAAAUCCCACGGCUUCAACCGUGGAACUGCUCGGUAUACUGCGUCGCUUGAGCCAGCUAGGGGCGACCGGGAACAAAACGGUGGAGCGGUGAAAUGCGUAGAUAUCGUUUGGAACGCCGAUGGUGAA
rnacentral:rRNA from 1 species